rnacentral:lncRNA from 10 species
CCUGGGCCCCUGGGAGUGCAGAGAUGCCUGGGUGUGCAGCUGCAGCUUGGGUGGCUGCAGCUGCGGCUUGGGUGGCUGCAGCUGCAGCUUGGGUGGCUGCAGCUAUGCCUGGAGCUCAUGCCUGCUCCCACUCCUCAAGAGCACAGGGAUGUCCAGGCUUGGAGCCAUGGCUGGGCAGCUGCAGCUGCGCCCAGGGAGCAUGAGGCUCCUGCCCUGCCAACUCAGGAGCGGGCUGGCCUUCCACCUGUUUCUGGCUCCCUCCGGCUCCAUGGAGCAUGCAACCCUGGCCACACCUCCCCAGUGAAGCCAGUGUCAUGGCAGCAGCCACUCUAGAUGGGCCAUGGCUGCCAUCAUUAGGGCUUUACUAUACACAUGUUAAAAAGUAAUUAAACGUGGUUUCUACCCUCCUGACAUUAAAAACUGAUCAAUUCCAGAUGGAUUAUAGAUAUAGUUGUGGAAGACAAAACAAUCAAACUUUUAGAAAAAAGUCAAAGACAUUAUUUUCAGGUUUUCCAAGUUGGGAAAUGUGAUACAAAACUAUUCAGUUUAAAUAAAAAAUCAAUACCUUUAACUAUUAAAAUUGAGGACUGCUAUUUAUCCAAAGAUACAAUGAAGAGACUGAAAGGCAAAGAUUAAAAAAAGACUAAAGAUUUAAAAAAUUAAAUAUGUAUACACACAUGAAUGGAAUAUGUGAAAAAGUCUCCAAGUAAAGAAAAAAGGACAAUUCACUAGAAAUAGAAGAAAAGUCUUAAACAGUCUCAUCCCAAAGAAGAUAUCCUAAUGAACAGUGGACAUGAACAGGGGCUCAACUUCGUUAAUUAUCUCUCAUUCUCAAGGAAAAGCAAAUUAGACUGUGAAUAAAAUCUCCAUGUACCCACUAGGAUGACUACAAUUCAAAAGGCUGACCUAUCCAGGUGAAGAUGAGAGUGUGCAGCAUUGGAAAUUCUUACACAUUGCUGGAGAUUUAGAAGCUAAAGAAAGAGGACAAAUGAUUUGGAAGCAAAGAUAAGAAGGAAGAAGGGUAUGUUAUCUACGUCACUUCGAGCUCUGUCACAUGAGGAAUAAUAGAGGAAAAGCAGGGCAUUGCCCCUAGAGGGAGGUGCUAGCAUCUCUGCCACUCCUCAGUUUGUGAACUUUCUAUGCCUUAUUUCAUCAUCUUCUCAAUGAGCACAUCAAUAUCCAAUUCAUAUUGUUUUGUGAGGCUGAAUUGAGAUAAUGUACAUAGAAGUCUUAUCUUAUUUUGAACACUGAGAUGGGGUCUCGCCAUGUUUCCCAGGCUGGUCUCAAACUCCUAGAUUCAAGCGAUCCACCUGCCUUGGCCUCCCAAAGUGCUGGCAUUAUAGGCAUGAGGCACCAUGCCAGGCCUGUUUUGAAAUUUCAUACAUAUUUAUAAAACAUAUUUUCAGGAUGAGAGAAUAUACGAAGAAGUUACAUAGCAUUGUGUAUCUGUAUAGAAUAAAAAUGAUCUAAAUCAAUGUCAUCAGACCAUGGCUUUAUAGACACCAUCUUCUAGUCAAAUCACUCAUCUGUUUUUACCCAGUACUCAUACUGUGGGAAAAGUGUAGGGGCACAGAACAGUGAACACUUUCGGGAAUGUUGGAAUCAUUCUGUAUUAGAAUUUUAUUCUUAUAAAAAAUGUUGGUGAAUCAGUCUGGAUUAGGUCAUGGAAACAACACACCAUCAAUCAUCACGGAAAGAAGGUGUUUCAUGUGGGAAUUUUAAGAAUAUAGGACAAACAGGAUGUGGGAGAGAUGGGGUUUCAAGGUCUGAUAAGGGAAUAUUUGGUGGGAUAAAGAAAUAGUGACGAAGCACUUCAGCCUGAAGAGACUUCUUAGAAACCUAUCAGGCCCAUAUUUCCUUCUCCCAAAAGGCAAAAAUAGUACUUAAGUUAUCCUCACCAGGAGAUUUGGCUACAGAAAUGAAUAACCCAAUUUUUAAUCUAUUCAGCUAGUCUCACCACUGCUACCCAAAGAGCUACCUGAGAGUCUUGGAGACACAACUGAACACCAAUGAUAAUCUCUUAGAUUAUAGCUGGGGAUAUUACCAAAGAUGUGAUUUACCCAGAAGGAUUAACUCUAGUGAAGCAGCUAGAUCAGGAAGGUUACUGGGGUCCGAGUUUGGACUAUGCCCUGCUUGGAAUGAGAAUAUGGUCAGAAAUCUUGUACUGUUAAUAGAAUGACUGCUCCACUGGCCAAACCAUCAGAGCACAGCAGAAGUCCCAAACUCCCUUGCUCAUGUGGUCCUAGACAACUACAUUGUUUUUGACUGUCUUCUUGCUGUACAGGGUGAUGUUUGUGCUGUUGCUAACAUUUGCUGCUGCACCUGGGUAAAUACAUCUAGUUAGAUUGAAUUGGACACAUCUAAGAUCCUAAAGUUAGCUAAAUCUCUGAAUGGGACACCUUCAAAAAGCCUCCUGGCUGGACUUCCUGGCUUGAAUUUACAAUUUCCAGAUAUUUUCAGCUGGCUUUUGUCUCUAGUCUAGGAUACCUUCUGUGUUCCAUCCUACAGAUCUUAAUGAUCCUUCUAUUUGGGCUAAUCAUUUGGGUACUCUUUUGAAUUGUUCUAGCCUGUUUUUUUUGUUUGUUUGUUUUGUUUUGUUUGGAGAUGGAGUUUCACACUUGUUGCCCAGGCUGGAGUGCAAUGGUGGGAUCUCGGCUCACUGCAACCUCCACCUCCUUGGUUCAAGCGAUUCUCCUGCCUCAGCCUCCCGAGUAGCUGGGAUUACAGGCACGCACCACCACACCCGGCUAGUUUUGUAUUUUUAGUAGAGAUGCAUUUUCUUCAUGUUGCUCAGGCUGGUCUCAAACUCCUGACCUCAGGUGAUCCGCCCACUUCGGCCUCCCAGUGUGCUGAGAUUACAGGUGUGAGCCACUGCGCCCAGCUCUUCUAGCCUGUUUUAACAGAUAUCUGCAAGAGGCUUGGAUCAUGCUGACCUAACCCAGGAAAUUUUAAAUUUACUCCAGACAGGAACCAGAAUCAACAUAACCUACGAGACUUUGAUUAGAAUCUAACAGGUACCUGAGUGCCUUUUGUAAGUAAAUGGCUCUAGUUGCUCAAUUGGCCACUGCUCUGCCACCAGGAUCCCUAGAAGAGACCAGAUAAACCUGAAGCACGUAGCUAAUCACUUCCAUGCCGUGAUGGAAUGCAGUGCUGUCUGCCAACAAGUUUGAGCCAGUCUUUCAAGAUGCAUCCUGAGUGGCUAACUGGGCCUGCAUUUCAAGUUGAGCCAAGGGACCAUUUGCUAACGAGGGGACACACACAUGUUCUGAGUUCACCCAAAACACAUACCUUAUUAUUUUGGGGCUUUUCAGCCCACCUGCCUCUGCUAAUCAGGGCUCAGCUGUAUUGACCCAUUAGAACUCAGCUGGGUUGACCAAUCAGAACUAAGUGAGUUUGGAGUUUUAAUUCUCAAUUGAAUGAACAGACCUGAUUGGGAACCUGCGUGGGAACUUUGGCUAUUAAACCUGAGCAUUCUUUCUGUUCUCUGGAAGAAAUAAUGUUUAAGUUGCUAACACUUUAUGCAUUUUCCUAAAAUUGAAUCAAACAACUCCUUUUGAAACAUAACCCUGAUAUCAGGGAAGUCGUACAACACCGUGCUAAAUAAUUUUAUACCUCUAACCAAGGUCUGUGCCCUAAUCAGCAGGAAGUGCCAGAGUGUCUGUCACCCAUUCUCCCUCAAGAUUGAGAAAUGAACAAUGAAAAAAGGGGGAUUUGAAAAUGCAGAACCAGCCCAAUGUGGUUCAAGUUUGUGUAAUAAAAUAAUGCGUUGUUUUACUGUUGCCACGGUCUCCUGGUUUCAAGUUAUGUUACCUGAGCAUGCCCAGACACACUCUGCAUGCAACCACGGUGGAACCUAAGUACUUGGACCAAGGAGCAGGGCUGAUUUAAGAAGGAGACACCUCAGGGCUUAAUCUGUGAUCUGAUCAGAUCCAGCCCUGACAUCACCUCAUGGCACGAUGCAGUCAGAUCUUACCUCAUUACCCUCUGUCUAUAAAACCUGCCCCAACCCCCAGAUCUGAGAGACAAAUUUUUAGAUAUGCUUUCCCCCAUCUCCUUCCUAGUUGAAUAAAAAUAAACCUUUCCCUCUACAAAACCCUUGUGCUUCCUUGUUUGGCUUUCCAUUGCAAUCAGGCAAACGGCCUGCAUUGCUUUAGGUAACUGACACUCCCAAGACUCAAGGAGCUGCCGCGCAGCACUAUUUUGAAAGCCCAGCCCCCAUCAGACUGUAUCUUGCUCUGGGGCCCAACAGCCCCAGCAUCUCCACUUCCCUGGAGCCCUGCGGACAUCUCUUCAUUUCCACCCAGAGGGCUGCAACUUUGUCCCGUGGGCUGAAUCCAGUGGUGCAGUAAGGAACAGGCAGUGCACCACACCAGGGAGACUGCCCCCAGGACAAAGGGAGCCCAAAUGCACACUCCUCAGUUUCUGAAAGCCACUUGCCCGGGGCCACUGCCACCGACAGCAACCCUCUCAACUUUCCACCCGAAGCAGGGCCACCAAGCAUCUGCAUGUGCCUCCCAUGGUCCUGGAGCUGGUCUGCCCAGACGCAGUUCUGUGUCCUGAGGACAGGCUCUCACACCACCCGUCACGCAAACAUGGUGCCCAGGGCCUGGGGAUCAUGCUGCCUCAACUGUAGCUGCGGGCGUGUGCCCACAACAUCAGGAAGUGUGACAGCAGGCCCAGGUCACCUGCCACUGGCACCCAAGCAUGCCAUCCAGGAGCUUGGUGAUUGUUCGGCCACACUCGCCAUAGCCUGCACCCUUGCACGCCAUUGGAGGGCCUAAGGACGGGAAAGCAACAUGCCUCCCUGGAGAGAGCUUGAUUCUGUUCUGGCAUAUGUUAGAGAAAAGUACUAAACCAAGUCAGAUGGUUUGGAAUGUGGUCUAAUUUUUUAUUUUUUUUUAGACGGAGUCUCGCUCUGUCGCCCAGGCUGGAGUACAGUGGCGCGAUCUCGGCUCACUGCAAGCUCCGCCUCCUAGGUUCACGCCAUUCUCCUGCCUCAGCCUCCAGAGUAGCUGGGACUACAGGCGCCCGCCACAACGCCCGGCUAAUUUUUUGUAUUUUUAGUAGAGACAGGGUUUCACCGUGUUAACCAGGAUGCUCUCCAUCUCCUGACCUCAUGAUCCGUCCUCCUCGGUCUCCCAAAGUGCUGGGAUUACAGGCGUGAGCCACAGCGCCUGGCCAGAAUAUGGUCUAAAUAUUAAUACUACCAAACUGGGGAGGAAGUAACUUAAUUUUGCUGAUUUUUCAUUUUCUUAUACUUUAUUGGUUUACAAAGAAACCAUUAUUUGCUUUUAAUGGCAGAGUUAUUCUUUUCUACUGUGAAGUUACUUCAACUCAUAAAAAUGUAUUUUAUUUACACCUUUGUAGCAAUGGAGCUUGGAAGAAAAUAUAAAGCAUAUCUACAUGAACAUUUCAUCUAGUAUUCUGUGUUCUCACCUGGUCUUCUAUAAAGUUUCAGUUCAAGUGAAGAAACAGUGCUUGGCAGCACCAUGCUCUAUUGUGAAAGGAGGCAUUUGCCGUGUGAUUGGAUCACAGGUAGUUCAAGGUAACAAAAGGCCUCAAAGCAAUUAGGAAAGACAGGAUUAUUAAUGUGGAUUUAAUGGCAUUAGCUGCUUCCUUGCUUUUUUCUCACUGUGUUAUUUUGAAUAACCGCAUAGUUUUUUCAAGAUUGUAAUAUAUAUAGUCUAAUCCAUAUGAUUUUUAUACAUGUGAGUAACACAAUGCAGGUAUAUAAAACUCUGACCAAUGUUUCUGUAAAACAGAGUUCUGCAAACUAUGGCUUAUGGGUGCCAUCCUGUUAUUGAAAGUAAAAAUUGAUUGGAACAUAGCCACACCUAUUGGUUUAUGUAUUUUCUAUGGCUGUGUUUGCACUACAUGCAGAGCUGAGUAAUUCAGACAGAGACUGUAUGACCUGCAAAGCCAUAAAUCGUUACUAUCUGGUAUUUUACAGAAAAGAUUACCAGCCAUUGCCAUAAAGAGUAAAACCUUAUUUUCUGAUAAAAAUAACUGCAAAAAAGAAAAUCAGAAAUAAGAAGCCUAGUGAAAUACAUUGUAUUUUCAGUUCAAAAAUAAUUUUUAAUUGCUAUAAGAAACAUCAACCACUUUCCUAGGACUUUUCACACAUAAGACAAAG